rnacentral:lncRNA from 1 species
AUAUGCUUUACUUUUGAAAUGUUUUACAGUUUAAACUGCAGGCAUUUCCUAUUUUUUACAGCUCAACCUUUCACAUGAUGCAAUUACAUCUUAGAUGAAACACAAAAUUUCUGCAUUCAGAAUUGUAAUACGAUCACAGCAUUGUCUCUGUUUUUCUAUAAGAAUUGUUUUUCUUAACAAAGGCUAAAAUUUAUGUCAAAGUAUUUAAGCAGAGUACGAUGGAGACACCAAAUAGCCUACCUCUUGAUGCACUGAUUAAACAAUACCUAGAAAAUGCAAAUGAUGGGAUUUUCAUGCUGGAAUUGUAAUGAUUUGCUCUUGUUUUAUACCAUGCUCAAAAGAAUGACAGGCACAGUACAGAAGAAAUCCAAGCCUCUGUCAUUAAUAUCUUACAAAAGCUCCAGUCCUGCAGAUGCAAUUGGAAAUUCUUCAGCUUUAUUCAGAGAUCUGUGA